rnacentral:rRNA from 1 species
UACAGAGGGUGCGAGCGUUUGAUCGGAGUUACUGGGCGUAAAGGGCGCGUAGGCGGUUAUAUGAGUGUGCUGUGAAAGCCCCGGGCUUAACCUGGGAAGUGCAGUGCAACGAUAUAACUGGAGUAGAUGAGAGGGUGAUGGAAUUUCCGGUGUAGCGGUGAAAUGCGUAGAGAUCGGAAGGAACGUCAAUGGCGAAGGCAGUCACCUGGCAUCAUACUGAGCUGAGCGCGAAAGCGUGGGGAGCGAACAGG